rnacentral:rRNA from 1 species
CCUACGGGCGGCAGCAGUGGGGAAUAUUGGACAAUGGGGGCAACCCUGAUCCAGCCAUGCCGCGUGUGUGAAGAGGGCCCUCGGGUUGUAAAGCACUUUCAGUGAGGAAGAACGCCUGGUGGUUAAUACCCAUCAGGAAAGACAUCACUCACAGAAGAAGCACCGGCUAACUCCGUGCCAGCAGCCGCGGUAAUACGGAGGGUGCGAGCGUUAAUCGGAAUUACUGGGCGUAAAGCGCGCGUAGGUGGCUUGAUAAGCCGGUUGUGAAAGCCCCGGGCUCAACCUGGGAACGGCAUCCGGAACUGUCAAGCUAGAGUGCAGGAGAGGAAGGUAGAAUUCCCGGUGUAGCGGUGAAAUGCGUAGAGAUCGGGAGGAAUACCAGUGGCGAAGGCGGCCUUCUGGACUGACACUGACACUGAGGUGCGAAAGCGUGGGUAGCAAACAGGAUUAGAUACCCGAGUAGUC